rnacentral:rRNA from 1 species
AAUGGGUCAGCGACUUAUAUUCUGUAGCAAGGUUAACCGAAUAGGGGAGCCGAAGGGAAACCGAGUCUUAACUGGGCGUUAAGUUGCAGGGUAUAGACCCGAAACCCGGUGAUCUAGCCAUGGGCAGGUUGAAGGUUGGGUAACACUAACUGGAGGACCGAACCGACUAAUGUUGAAAAAUUAGCGGAUGACUUGUGGCUGGGGGUGAAAGGCCAAUCAAACCGGGAGAUAGCUGGUUCUCCCCGAAAGCUAUUUAGGUAGCGCCUCGUGAAUUCAUCUCCGGGGGUAGAGCACUGUUUCGGCAAGGGGGUCAUCCCGACUUACCAACCCGAUGCAAACUGCGAAUACCGGAGAAUGUUAUCACGGGAGACACACGGCGGGUGCUAACGUCCGUCGUGAAGAGGGAAACAACCCAGACCGCCAGCUAAGGUCCCAAAGUCAUGGUUAAGUGGGAAACGAUGUGGGAAGGCCCAGACAGCCAGGAUGUUGGCUUAGAAGCAGCCAUCAUUUAAAGAAAGCGUAAUAGCUCACUGGUCGAGUCGGCCUGCGCGGAAGAUGUAACGGGGCUAAACCAUGCACCGAAGCUGCGGCAGCGACGCUGAUGCGUUGUUGGGUAGGGGAGCGUUCUGUAAGCCUGCGAAGGUGUGCUGUGAGGCAUGCUGGAGGUAUCAGAAGUGCGAAUGCUGACAUAAGUAACGAUAAAGCGGGUGAAAAGCCCGCUCGCCGGAAGACCAAGGGUUCCUGUCCAACGUUAAUCGGGGCAGGGUGAGUCGACCCCUAAGGCGAGGCCGAAAGGCGUAGUCGAUGGGAAACAGGUUAAUAUUCCUGUACUUGGUGUUACUGCGAAGGGGGGACGGAGAAGGCUAUGUUGGCCGGGCGACGGUUGUCCCGGUUUAAGCGUGUAGGCUGGUUUUCCAGGCAAAUCCGGAAAAUCAAGGCUGAGGCGUGAUGACGAGGCACUACGGUGCUGAAGCAACAAAUGCCCUGCUUCCAGGAAAAGCCUCUAAGCAUCAGGUAACAUCAAAUCGUACCCCAAACCGACACAGGUGGUCAGGUAGAGAAUACCAAGGCGCUUGAGAGAACUCGGGUGAAGGAACUAGGCAAAAUGGUGCCGUAACUUCGGGAGAAGGC